CUCCGUUGAAGAUGGAGUGUCACAGGCUGAAUUUUUCCAAUUUGCCUGUGCAUUAUCUCGAUAUACUAUCUGGAAGAUCAUCUUUUUUCAUUGUAAUCAUGACACAUCAUCUAGGCAAAUUACCCUUAGGGUAUGAUCUGGCGAUAGGGUGUUAUAUGGAGGCACCGCAAAGCCAAUUAAUGCACGCCUUGUCCAAUGCCAACUAAUGCACGCCUUAUCCGAUGAGUUGCGGUGUUUAGGAGGUAGAAGGUUCCUUUCAGAGACACUUUCCGGAAACCAAUCUAUGCACGUCUGCUUAUGGCCGUUCUUCAAGGUCAACAAAUCUACCAAAAAUACUUAGUGAUGGAGAUCGUGUUCAACCUUUUUUAUCAACAAUAAAUUUAUAUAUAGCAUCUUUUUAUUUU